rnacentral:rRNA from 1 species
CCUACGGGCGGCAGCAGUGAGGAAUAUUGGUCAAUGGACGAGAGUCUGAACCAGCCAAGUAGCGUGAAGGAUGACUGCCCUAUGGGUUGUAAACUUCUUUUAUAUGGGAAUAAAAUGUUCCACGUGUGGGAUUUUGUAUGUACCAUAUGAAUAAGGAUCGGCUAACUCCGUGCCAGCAGCCGCGGUAAUACGGAGGAUCCGAGCGUUAUCCGGAUUUAUUGGGUUUAAAGGGAGCGUAGGUGGAUUGUUAAGUUAGUUGUGAAAGUUUGCGGCUCAACCGUAAAAUUGCAGUUGAAACUGGCAGUCUUGAGUACAGUAGAGGUGGGCGGAAUUCGUGGUGUAGCGGUGAAAUGCUUAGAUAUCACGAAGAACUCCGAUUGCGAAGGCAGUUCACUGGACUGCAACUGACACUGAGGCUCGAAAGUGUGGGUAUCAAACAGGAUUAGAUACCCGAGUAGUC